rnacentral:rRNA from 1 species
GGAUUUUGGGCGUAAGAGCUCGUAGGCGGUUUGUCGCGUCUGCUGUGAAAACCCGAGGCUCAACCUCGGGCCUGCAGUGGGUACGGGCAGACUAGAGUGCGGUAGGGGAGAUUGGAAUUCCUGGUGUAGCGGUGGAAUGCGCAGAUAUCAGGAGGAACACCGAUGGCGAAGGCAGAUCUCUGGGCCGUUACUGACGCUGAGGAGCGAAAGGGUGGGGAGCAAACAGGCUUAGAUACCCUGGUAGUCCACCCCGUAAACGUUGGGAACUAGUUGUGGGGGCCUUUCCACGGUCUCCGUGACGCAGCUAACGCAUUAAGUUCCCCGCCUGGGGAGUACGGCCGCAAGGCUAAAACUCAAAGGAAUUGACGGGGACCCGCACAAGCGGCGGAGCAUGCGGAUUAAUUCGAUGCAACGCGAAGAACCUUACCAAGGCUUGACAUACACCGGAAACGUCUGGAAACAGUCGCCCCUUUUUGGUCGGUGUACAGGUGGUGCAUGGUUGUCGUCAGCUCGUGUCGUGAGAUGUUGGGUUAAGUCCCGCAACGAGCGCAACCCUCGUUCUAUGUUGCCAGCACGUUAUGGUGGGAACUCAUGGGAUACUGCCGGGGUCAACUCGGAGGAAGGUGGGGGAUGACGUCAAAUCAUCAUGCCCCUUAUGUCUUGGGCUUCACGCAUGCUACAAUGGCCGGUACAAAGGGCUGCAAUACCGUGAGGUGGAGCGAAUCCCAAAAAGCCGGUCCCAGUUCGGAUUGAGGUCUGCAACUCGACCUCAUGAAGUCGGAGUCGCUAGUAAUCGCAGAUCAGCAACGCUGCGGUGAAUACGUUCCCCGGGUCUUGUACACACCGCCCGUCAAGUCAUGAAAAGUCGGUAACACCUGGAAGCCGGUGGCCUAACCCCUUGUGGGAAGGGAGCUGUCGAAGGUGGGAUCGGUAAUUAGGAUAUCUCCCCGGGGGG